CGAGAAAGCCCGCAAGGGUGAGUAAAGCGGCGCACGGGUGCGUAACACGUGGGUAAUCUGCCCUGGAGUCCGGAAUAACUCGCCGAAAGGCGUGCUAAUGCCGGAUGAGACCACGGGGGCUUCGGCCUCCGCGGAAAAAGGUGGCCUCUGUACACAAGCUAUCACUCCAGGAUGAGCCCGCGGCCCAUCAGCUAGUUGGCGGGGUAAAGGCCCACCAAGGCUACGACGGGUAGCUGGUCUGAGAGGACGAUCAGCCACACUGGAACUGAGACACGGUCCAGACUCCUACGGGAGGCAGCAGUGGGAAUCUUGCGCAAUGGGCGAAAGCCUGACGCAGCAACGCCGCGUGUGUGAUUAAGGUCUCCGGAU
rnacentral:rRNA from 1 species